AAUAAAAAUAAGUAAAUAAAAACUAAUUAAGUAUAUUUUGUAGAUAAAAUAAUGGAGAAAAUUAUAUUGUGUGUACAUAUAUAAUAUUAAUAUAUAUAUAUAUAAUAAUUAAUAGUAGGUAGAGAGAGAGAGAGAGAAGAGAGAGAAAGAGAAGAGAGAGAGAAAGGUGAGAUCCCAUUGUUCGCUUGAGCUUGCGCAGACACAUCUAGAAUGCAGGAACAAUCUCGAGUCGCUUGGCAGCAAAAGAACUAAAACAGACUCCGGCACGCGAGCACUUAACGCGAAGAAAAUCUUGGCCAAAACGGCAGAUAUUCUCUGCUUGCUUAUCGUACAACGCGAGCAUGUACCUGAGCAAUACCAAUCGCCCCAGCAGAUUAGUACUCUGGUUGCUCCUUGUAUCUUACAAACCCGUGAUCGUACACAGGGGUAGGUAAGAGGGCUAAUUAGGCAAUUAUCCCCUCGUCUGUAUCACACUCCACCCCACCUACUUCUUAAGCCUAGAGAGCUUGAGGAUUCUUGCUGGCUCUUCACCCCUCUCCCUCUCUAACCAUUGUUCGACACCGGGAGAGUCGUGCAGUCGGAUUCGACACCCGACGUCCGCCGCCGCUAAGCCGUUCGGAGAACGCUUGACGUUAGCCGCUGGCCAGAACUAGGCACGGUGGCUUUCACCGUCUGACGCCCAUGUCGCGACCCGAUUUAGCCUUUAGGUGACGUUCCGUUCUUGCUUCAAGUAAUGACAUUCACUAGGUGCUUUGUUAUCCCUUCGUCACCGUAAUAUUUCAACUCGUACUCUCGCGAGGCAUCGAUUUCACAGGGACUUAGUUCGUUGAUUCGGACUUCGAGAGAAAUCCCACGAAGCACUUCUAUGCAUGAUCGGAAUAUAGCUUUGCCAAUCUCUAUGUACCUCACUGCCUGCAUCUGCUGAAAUGCUGAACACUUGUGAUUGUGUAGGCGUACGUAGCUCGAUUUUUGACUCGGCGGACUUCCGGUGCAGCAUCCUCUACACAUGGAAUCCUUCCUUCCAGAUUAGCUUUGAAGGGUUUAGCAAUGGUUAUUCUAAGUACCGUAUUCGCGACAUUAUAUUUUUAGUUCGGAUAAAUCAUGUUGUACUUGAUAUCGGACUACGCUGAUAUAACGGUACUUGAGAAAAAUUUAAAAAAAGCAUACAUAUAAACCUUAAAUUACAUUUCGGAACGGAUUUACUUACAGAUGCAGAUUGGAAUCGUCAAAUUUAAAACUAUCAGAUCUUACUUUAAGCCGUGAUUCGAUGGUACUUGCUAUCGGUUGGCGAUAGGAUACCGUAUUAAAGGCAUUUACCUCGGUAGAUCCGACUUAGUGUUUCAGGAGAGUAACUAUGUUCGGUCGUGGGGCCAUUUCCGUUAGCGAUUACCAAAUCUUUUUUGUCACAGAUUUGGCCGAGCACGUGGGUUUGUUGUAACCCAAAAGCUGUUUGACCCUGUUCACUUAUUUGCUAUUGAGCUGAUGAGCCGACAAGAUAACCUGCAUACUGCCGGUCAGUGCCACGUGCCACUCCGGAGUCAGGCUUUGUGCUUUCGCGUUGGUGUCGCUCAUGCCAGUUGGACUUGCUCUCCACGGACCAGUUAGUGUGGAUAGAGCCUGAUAGUCGCAACGGGGCAGGGACGGGUGUAUUCACAGUCCCGGGGACGGGUAUGCUUACAGUCCCGAUUGGAUUGGGUCAGAGUUGACAUUUCCUACAGUUGGUUAGUGUAGAGCAUGAUAGUGUAGUGAUCGGUAGCGGUAGAGUUAUUUUCCUGCUUUUCUGACUACUCUUGCUCCCUUCUGUAGACUUAGUGGGUGGACCGAUGUUGUUUUGGGCGGUACCCACUGAGGACUACUUGUUUUUACAGUAGUUCUCACGCCCAGUUGUUACCUAUGUUUUUGCAGAGCCACAGGUUUCGGCUGCUGCGCCUUCCGCGGAUCAGGAUUGAGGCAAGGGCGUCGCGAGCUAGAGCCCUACCCGACUGACAGAGCUAGAGGCACCCUACCGUAGGUAGUUGUUUUACUUCGAGCUUAUGUACAUGGUACUUAACUCGCCAGUGCGAGUAACGCUGUAUUUUGGUUUCUGAACUAUGUAUAUGAACCUCAGUUGGUUUAGCUUUUGUUUAUUGAGCAGCUCUAUGCUACUGUUUGUAGUAUUGCAUAUCUACAGGUACUUUUGACGCUUCGUAUACAGGAAAAAUUUCUUUGUAUACGGCGGAUUUGUCGGCGUGCCCGGGAAACGAGACAUCCGGGGCGUGACAGAGAGAGAGCAGGGCUGCUGUGCUCUCAGGAGCACGGAGGCCGUGCUCCUGAGCCAUUUUCGAUGAUUGAAUUUUCGAAUUGACGAUCGGCUCCGUUAGACUUGAUCUAGGGUAUUUGAAGUUUCUAGAAAAUAAUUUUUGCGAUUUUUCGAUAUCAUUUACCUAGUGGUCGAAAGGAUUCAAAAUCCAUAAUUUUUAAUGGUUGAUAUCUGCCGUUUUCAAGUUUAACGGUGUAGAAGUAUUUAAAUCAGAUGAAAUUUUGAUACAAAAUUCUUUAUACUAUCUACAACAAGAUCAAUAUUUCUGAUCGAAAAUUUUAGUGCUAUUUCACCACUUUUUAUAGGAUUUUUAUUUUCAGCCGUUAAAAAUGAUUGAUUUCGAAUCCUUUCGAUUGCUAGGUAAAUGAUAUUAAAAAAUUGCAAAAAUUAUUUUCUAGAAACUUCAAAUAUGCUAGAUCAAGUUUAACGGAGCCGAUCGUCGAUUCGGAAACUCCAUCAUCGAAAACGGCUCAGGAGCACGGAGGCCUCNNNNNNNNNNNNNNNNNNNNNNNNNAAAAAAAAAAGAAAAGAAGAUGCAAAUAUGGUUUCUUAUGAAUUUCAUAUUCAAAUUCUAUUUAUAUUUAUCAAAAUAUUAAGUUUCGCUGGAUAAAAUAUUUAUUGAAUAAAAUAUAAGUUUAAACGCUAAUGUGAACCUUCAAUUGCAUUGUGUGUUUUAUUUGAGUUAAUUUUAGUUUAUAUUUAUAUAGAGAGCUAGGCUCCUAUACUUUCAAAAGUACGGAGGCCUCCGUACUUGUAAGUUGUUUUCACUGAUGGGACGUCCGAUACGGCGAUCGGUUCCGUUAAACAUGAUCUACGCUAUUGGAACUAUCUAGAAACCAAAUUUUAUAAUUUUUUGACUUCGUUUGCCUAGUGAACGAGUAGCCUCAAAAUGAAUGGCUGAAAGUAAAAAUCUCAUUAAAAACAGUGAUAAAUGACUCAAAUUUCAAAUCGGAAGUAUUGUUUUUGCUCUUGAUGUUAAGUAGAAUUUUCUAUUAAAGUUUCAUAUAAUUUGGAUACUUCUACACCGUUGAACUUAAAAACGUGCCACAUCGGCCAUUAAAAUAGUCAUUUUUGAGACCCAGUAAUCGCUUGGUAAAUGAUAUCGGAAAAUUAUAGAAUUUGGUUUCUAGAUAGUUCCAAUAGCAUAGAUUAUGCCUAAUGGAGCCGAUCGUCGAAUUGGAUGUCCUAUCAUCAAAAACAACUUACAAGUACGUAGACCUCCAUACUUUCGAAAGUACGGGAGACGUACUCUAUAUAUAUAUAUAUAUAUAUAGAAUGAGGCUAGUAUGCUUUUGAAAGCUCGAAGCCCUCCGUAUUUCCAAGUCGUUUUCAUUAUUGGGAAUUGCGAAUCAACGAUUAGCUCCGUUAGAUUUGAUCUAGGUUUAUUGAAGUAUCUAGAAAUAAAUUUUGCAAUUUUUUGAUAUCAUUUGCCUAGGGAUCGAAGGGGCUCAAAAUUUUAAUGGUUGUGGUGAGCCGUUUGCAAGUUUAACAGUGUAGAAAUAUCCAAAUCAUGUAAAAUUUUGAUAAAAAAUUUUUUAUACUAUAUAAAAUGCGAUCAAUAUCUUUGGUCUAAAAUUUUAAUAUCAUAUCAUCACAUUUUGUAAGAUUUUUAUUUUCAGCCGUCGAUUUUGAGCACCUUCGAUCACUAGGCAGAUAUCGAAAAAUCGUAAAAUUUAUUUUCUAGGUACUUUAAAUACUCUAGAUCAAGUCUAACGGAGCCGAUCGUCGAUUCGAAAGUCUCAACAUCGAAACCGACUUAUAAGUACGAAAGGCUCUGUGCUUACAAAAGCAUACCGGCCAUUCUCUCUGUCUGUCUCUCUCUCUCUCUCUCGCUCUCUCUCUCUCUAUAGAGUCCGGCUGGGGUACUAUCGAUAGCACUAAGGGCUUGGUGCUAUCGAGUUUUUCACCGUUAGAUUUAACCCUUCAAUUAUUUUUACCCGUUAGAUUAUACUAUUCAACCAACCACUCACUCAACCCUAAGGGGCCCACAUCAUCCUAACCACCCAUUUAUCAAUCCAAGGGAUAAAAAAUCAAUAGCACCAAUAACUUCAUGCUAUUGAUAGUAUUCCAGCCCACAUCAUCCUAGCUUUCGACUUCUCGCCGUGGUCAUAGUUAGUAAAUUCGCGAUUAAUAUGCGAAUUAUUCGCGUAUUUUUCAAAAUGCGAAUUAAACGACGAAUUUCGUAUUUUUCCAAAAAAUUCGAAAAAAUACGCGGUGUUUUCAUCAAAAAUCAUUAUUUGCGAAUUAUUCGCGAUUCGCGAAUAAUUCGCCCAAAAAAUCGCGAUCGCGCGGUCGCGGACUUGCUGCCAAGGGUCGCGUCGUCGCCGCUUGUCCCCGCUCGCGUCGUCGCCGCUCGUCGCCGCUCGCAUCGUCGCCGCUCUCGUCGAUGCCGCUAGGGUCGUCGUCGUCCUCCGCCGCCCUUGCCGUCGCCGGGAGCGAGGGCCGCGGCGGCGGAUCUAUGUCCUCGCCCGAGGCUGGCUCCAGAAAAGUGGAAGAUGAACAGUAGGAUUCAUCGGAGCUUUUGGGAAUUGGGAGGUGCACAGUGGACCUCCCUCUCAUAUAUAUAUAUAUAUAUAUAUAUAUAAAAAUUUUUUUUUUAUAAAUAUAUAUUCAUUUAUUAUAUAUUUUAUUUUAUUUUUAUAUAGAAAUAUUUAUAUAAUAUUUUAUUUAUAAAUUUGUAAUUAUUUAUUAUUAUUUUUAAAUAUAUAAAUUUUAUUUAUUAUAUAGCCGGAUUUUUUUUUCCGAAUUUUUAAUUGGUUAACGUAUAAUAUCCGUAUAAAUCACGUAUCCAAAUAAUUACUAAACCCGUUUUUUAGCCGUAUUUUUCAAUGAAUUUAAAAAUUAAAAAACGAAUUUUAUCCGAAUUAUAGCCGUAUCGAAUUUUUACCAAAUCCGAAUUAACUAACUAUAGCCGUGGUUGGAUUAGCUUUUCGAGGUGGGUCAAAGUGAUGCUUACCGGAUUUUGCGGAUUUCCUCCUAAGUUCUAUUGUUAGCAUGUAUUCGUGGAUAUUGUCAUGUUUCAUUGUUCAAUUCAUCGAUUUAUUAUGUUUCUAAAAUCUGAAUUGGAGCUUAGAAUAUUAGUUAAAUAAUAUAUGUUAAACUUGGAUUUGACUUAGGAGAAAACUGGCGCUUCUACACUGUCAUAUGUUAAAACUACCAGAUUUUGUUUUAGGAGUCGUAAUUUGUUUGUAUCGCCGCAGUUUGUGGGCGAUGGAUACCCAGAAUAGUGUAGAAUAAUAUUACGCUCGUGCUGGGACGCUGAGCUUAUUUUUACAGUAUUGUUCAGACUUUUUCAGAUUGUCGGGUGCCGUUGGGGUUGACGGUGGACCCAGAUUAUAAUUUUUGUAUCAGCUUGUGCCGAGAGCACGUGUCUUUUGGUUGUUAGACCAAUUAGAUACUGUUUAUUUGACUAUAGCCUGUGAGAGCCGGAUUGAGCUCGACAGAGACACGCUUGCAUACUCGGUUGGGUAGCGCCCGCGAGUGCCACUCUGGAGUCGGGCUUUGUGCUUUUGCGUUGGUGUCGUUUUGUCCUGGUUGGACUUGCUCUCCACUGACGAUCUGGUUUGGUGUUAGAUAGUAUAGCUUCGACAGGUGGGAUGGGUAUGUUCACAGUCCUAAUGAGAUUAGGUCAGAUUGUACUUUUCUACAGAUAGUGGGUGCUAGACUGAGUUAGUAUAGGUGCAUAUAGCUGUAGAUUUAUUCCAGCUUUCUUACUAUACUUGUUUACAUCUGUAGACUUAGUGGGUGAGCCGUUGAGGUAGGUAGCGGUACCCACUGAGGACUAUUUCUUUUGCAGUAGUUCUCAUGCCCAGUUGUUGGAAUCUUUUGCAGAGCUUUCUCCUUCGGCGGCUGCUGCUGCUGCUGCUGAGUCUAAUCGUGGAAAGGGUGUUGCGAGUUAGAGCCAUUCCUAACAAGUUGCAGAGCUAGAGGAGUACCAGCUAUAGGUAGUUAUAGUUUUUGGGUUUGUAUACAUACUGAUGUUGUUUCUCGCUGGAGCGAGUAUUUUGGUUACCUAGAUUCUUUGUAUGUAUAGUUAACCCCUGUUGUUUAUAUAUAUAUUUCAUUUCUUCUAGUAGCUCUAUACUACUAGUUGUAGUAUUGUAUGAUUACAGAUAUAGUUAUCGCUUUGUAUACAGAAAAAAUUUCUUUGUAUACGGCGGAUUUAUCGGCGUGCCCGGAGAAACGAGAAAUCCGGGUCGUGACAUGAAUGACGGUUGGAGUGUAUUAGAAAAAGAGAAAUUCUCUAUUUUACUUCUCAAAACCUUUGGAAGGAAAAUUUUUCGUGAAAUAUGAAAAAUAAUUUAUCAAAAAAUCUAUUUUUUCUACAAAUCAAACACAUGGAAAAAAAAAAUACACCCUAAAAUAAAUUGUGGGAUAUUUUUCAACGAACCAAGUAGGUUCUAAGGUUUAUUAAUGAAAUUUGAGAUUUAUAAGGAUAUUUGACAGUUUCAUGAUAAAUUUAAAAAUUUUAAAUAGUACAGUAGUAAAGAAUAAAUAAGCAAAAGUCUAAAAAUUAUGACAACCGGUGAAAUGAAUAUGCCAAAAACGUUAUUCUAAACUGAAACCAAUCGUUCUUAACGUAAGCGGCAUAGAAUUUGAGGGCCGGUGCCGGCGUCUCAGGUUGGAGCUAACUAAAGCUGUUCUUAACUAUAUUAUUGUCCGGAAGGAAAUUUGACUGUGCAGACAGCAGUACUGGCUGCAAAUCUUCUCGCGGAUGGGCUGACUGCCGGAGUCAAAGAAAGGCGUCGCCGCCGUCCGAAGUCCUGACUGUCGACAAUCCAACUCCGCGACACGGAAAAACGCGCGUGCUUCUUAAUUUCCAAUUGCAAUCGCUUACGUGUUCUUCUUGUUCCGCCCCGUAGAACAUGCCAACAUCAGUUUACUUAAUUUGUAUUCUAGCUAUAAAUAAAGUUUCGUUACGCUAAGCAAUAAGUCGAAUAUUAUCGAUUAAUUUGUCUUUUUAUCUUGAGAAGUACCUCGCCGUUGAUCUCAGGUAUUAAUUGGUGCAUUUAUUUGAUUAUGUUGUAAGGUGUAAUGUCAUUUAGUGAAAUAUAUAUAUACCAUUGGAAUAAAACUGUAGGGUUGUAUAAUGAUUUUUUGAUUUUUUUUUUUUUUUGAGAGAUAGGUAGCACGCUACCUGUUUCGUUUAUUUCAUUUAGAAAUAAACUUAGCUGGAAAUGUGAAUCAACUAGUAAUUAAGGAGUAGAUCCACUCUUUCUCUCUCUUUCUAGCUCAACUCUCUCUCUCUCUCUCUCUCUCUCUCUCUAUAUAUAUAUAUAUAUAUAUAUAGGCGCCACACUGUUACAGAUACGGACAAAAGAUAUGAAACCCGAAGACAUGACAUGAUUUGGACAUGGCGACUUGACUCGGCAGCUUUAAAAAAAAUCAAAACAGGAAUACGACUGUACACCGCUAUUAAAAAAUAAUAAUAUUAUUAACAUAAUAAUAUAUUUACUAUAUAUAAAAUAUUAAUUUUUAAUAUAAUAUUAUUAUAUUUUUUAUACGAUUGAAAGCUAAUAAAAUUUUUAUUGAUAAUUUAUUUUAAGAAAAAAAAAUUCUUUACUAUACGUAUUUUAUUUAUAUCGGUCAAAAAGAAUGAAUAAAAAACUAAAAUAUUUAAUAUCUUAUAUAAUAUAUGCAUGAAAUUAGGAAAGUAAAAUGUGUUUUUUUAAUGGAAUGUGCCAUGAAUGCGCUUUCAUGAUGCGCCCACGUCGAACAAAAGUUCGGUAGGGAUGUGCAUAUGUCUGAUACAGACACGCGAGACUUAUAAUCGUGUCGGUGAUGUAGAUGUAUACUUAAAAAAUUCAAAGAAAAUUCUUUUGUCGUAAAAUAGAGAUGACAGAAUGGAUGCUUGAACAAGUAAUCUAAUAAUAACUUGUUUGCUAGGAAGAUUUCUUUCAUUUUUUCUCUUAAUGAUCAUGUGCCGUGAGAUUAAUUAUAAUAAUCAUAACUUGUUAUGAUAAUAUAUUUUACCUAUAAAAUAAUUUUUUUUUUUAAAAAAAUAGCUUGGCAGUUGGUUGUAGUGUAUAUUUUUGGGCAUUAGUUUGAAUCAUACUGCUCAUCUAACAAAAACUUUUUGAAUAAAAAAAAUAAAAAUGCAAUACUCAUAUUUUCAAACAAGACCCCUAUGCAAUUUACUUUUAAAUAAUAGCCAAGUGCUAUACUUUACAUAAUAUGGGAUUUAAUCAUUAUGAUCAAGCUUUAUAUUAUUAAAUAAUAUAAAAUAAUCAUUAUUUUUUAAAAAAUUUAAGCUGGUAAGUAGAGAAGGGUGUGUUUAAAAAUUUUUAUAUUAACACAUCCAUUCACGUUUGCGCUCGAAAUUUUUCGCCAUUCACGUCUGAACUCGAGACUUAAUUUCUGUUAGGUUCAUGAAGUGAACUUGAAUUAAAGGAAAGAAAAUUAAUAAUACUGAAAAUCUGAAAUAAUUCGAACUCAAAAUCUCUUACUCUAAUAUCAUCAUAUUAAAUAAAUAAUACAAAAGAACCUUAACAACAUUCUCAUCUUGUAGUUUGUAAACUGCACUAUUUAGUUACUACAUUUUCCAAGGGCACAAGCUAACAAAUCGUUACACGUGAAAGACAAUAUAAUAACUUGCAAAUGUGCCAUAUCAUUAGGGCUGGCAAACGAGCGAGCCGGCUCGCGUUCGACUCGUGUUCGGCUCGAUAUUCGGCUCGCUCGAGCUCGACUCGAAAUUAAAUGAGCCGAGCUUGAACAAAAUAAAAGGCUCGAAAUUCAUUUCAAGCCGAGCUUGAGUAUUACUCGGCUCGUUCGAAUUAGGCUCGAAAAGCUCGAAAAGCUCGAAUAUAUAUAUAUAUAUAGAAUUAUGCUACUAUACUAUCAAUUGUACCAAGCUCUUAGUAUUAUUGAGUUUUCGGUCGUUGGAUGAAAAAUGUGCGGUUAGGAUGAUAGUGGUCUCCGAUUAAAUUGAUAGUGGUCCCCCAGGGUUGAGUGGAUGGUUGGUUUAAUAGUAUAAUCUAACGGGAGAAAAUGAUCAAAGGGUAGAUCUAACGGUAGAAAACUCAAUAGUACCAAGGGCUUGGUACUAUCGAUAGUAUAGUAGCCGGACUCUAAAUAUAUAUAUAUAUAUAGGCUACUAUCCUAUCGAUAGCAUGGAGACCUCCGUGCGACCAAGUUGUUUUUAAUGAUGCGGCUUCUGAAUCGAUGAUCAUUUCCAUUAGACUUGAUCUACGCUAUUAGAAAUAUCUAGAAACCAAAUUUUAUAAUUUUUCGACAUUAUUUAUACAUCAAAUGAGUAGUCUAAAAAUGAAUGUCUGAAAAUAAAAAUCUCAUAAAAAUAGUGAUAAAAGACUUAAAUUUCAAAUCGAAAGUUUUGGUCUAGCUCUUUAUGUUAAGUAGAAUUUUUCUACUUUUGAUUACUUAGUAAAUGAUGUUGUAAAAAAUAUGAAAUUUGGUUUGCAAAUAUUUCCAAUAGCGUAGAUCAAGUCUAACGGAACUGACCAUCGAUUCAGAAGCCGCAUCAUUAUACAUCAAAUGAGUAGUCUAAAAGUAAACGGCUGAAAAUAAAAAUCUCCUAAAACAUAGUGAUAAAAGACUUAAAAUUUCAAAUCGAAAGUUUUGAUCUUGCUCUUUAUGUUAAGUAGAAUUUUUCUACUAAGGUUUGACGUAAUUUGGAUUGUUUUACACCGUUGAACUUACAAACGUAUCAGCUCGGCCAUUAAAACUAUCAGUUUUGGAACCCUUUGAUCACUUAGUAAAUAAUGUAAAAAAAAUAUGAAUUUUGGUUCGCAAAUAUUUCCAAUAGCGUAGAUCAAGUCUAAUGAAAUCGGUCGAUUCAGAAGCUGCAUCAUUGAAAACAACUUGGUAGCACAGAGGCCUCCAUGCUAUCAAGUAGCUAGACACACACGAGUUGGAAUGCUAUUAGUAGCAAACGGGCUCCGUAGCCACCUAUUUGUUUUCGACGAACCUAUUUGUUUUCGACGAUGGAGCCUCCAAAUCGACGAUCGACAUUGUUGAACAUGAUCCAUACCACUUGAACAAGAGAACAAUACUUGGAAAAGCAUGCCAUUUGGUUUCUAGAUGCUUUAAGUGAUAUAGAUUAUGUUCAACAGUACCGAUUGUCGAUUUGAGGGCUCCAUCAUCGAAAACAAAUGGAUGGCAACGGAGCUCGUUUGCUACUAAUAGCAUUCUAGCUCAACUCUCUAUAGAUAUAUAUUUUAUAUACAUAUAUAUUAUAUAUAUAUGAGUACAAAGGACUCUAUACUCAUAAGAGUAUAGAAGCCCUAUUCGAAUAUAAAGUCCAGCUACUAUACUCUCAUGAGUACGAUUGGCUUCGUACUCAUNUCGAAAUUAGGCUCGCUCGAGCUCGGCUCGAAUUAAUUUCAAGCCGAGCUUGAGCCUAGAUUUAGGCUCGAAAUUAAUUUCAAGCCGAAUUUGAGCCGACAUAAGCUCGCUCGAGCUCGGCUCGUUUCCACCCCUACAUAUCAUAAUGAAGUUUUUUUUGUUAAAAUAUCAUAUAGGAAAAGUUUCAAAUACCACCCCCGUGGUUUCAUACUUUUUCACUUUAGUAUCCUAUGAUUUAAAGUGUAUUAGUUAAUUUGGUACCCUGUGGUUUCACACUUUCUCACUUUAGUACCCUGUGGUUUAAAGUGCAUCAAUAACAUAUCUGAAGUUUUUUAGUAUAUAGGUUUAUCGAAUAUUACUUUAGUAUUCUUUAGUUUUAACUUUGUCACUGAUUUUUUCUUUCUUUCUUAAUAUUUCGUUAAAUUAUAUACUAAAAAACUUCAGAUAUGUUAUUUAGGUUUAUCGAAUAUUCACUUUAGUAUCCUUUAAUUUUAACUUUGUUACUGAUUUAACGAAAAAAAUCAGUAAAAUAGAUAAUAAAAAGAAAAAAAUAAAACCACAAGGUACUAACUUGAUACUCUUUAAACCACAGGGUACUAAAGUGAAAAAGUGCGAAAUCACGUGGGCUAACUUGAUGUACUUUAAACUAUAGAGUACUAAUUAAAAUGAAAAAAAUGUGAAACCACGAGGGAUAUUCGAAGUUUACCCUAUAUAUCUCAUACGUAAAAAGCCUUCUUUCUCUCUCUCCUCUUUUCCACGUGCCUUUUUCUCUCUCUAACUUUCUCAGGUCAUCGUUCACGUCUCUCUUUUCCUCUCUAACCUCGUCAGGUCAUCGCUCUCUUUCUCACUUGCCAACAGGUUCGGAUUUUUUUUUCUUUUUUCUUUACUUUAGUUUGAUUUUACCCUGUAGAAAGUCAUUUUCCAACUUAUUUUCCAUUUAGUAGAUAAAACGUUUUCCAUGUGAUUCCAGGAGAGGAGCACGAUCAAGAAUAACCUCUGGGUGCUUGCUUUUUUCCGCCGUUUUUUCUCCUAAUUUGUUCUUUACUAAUUACAUGCUUUCAGCGUUUGAUUAGAGGAUAGGGAUAAGAAUAGGUCCUUAUUCCCACCUUUAUAUCCAAACGUUAAUUUUUUAUCCGAGAAUAGUAGUUCUUGGUUAUUCCCACCAACAUCUCCAUUUUCUAUAUCAAACUAUCUAAAAUUAUUCUUAUCCCCCGGAACAACCCAAUUUUCAUCCAAACACUAUUUUUUUUAUUCCCAUACUUGUAUCUAUCCCUGUAAUAGCUAGUUCUUACUUAUACCUGAACCAAACGGUACCUAAUUAAAGUUUAGCACAUGCUAUAGAAAGAACGUAUUCACCGCACUUAAUGGCUCAGUCAUAAUGUUCGCGAGUUUCGACCUGACUCAAUUCAUAUGGACAUUGAGUUUAUUAUUGGGUCUUUUGCCGUUAGGUCUCUUGUGAACCAUACCUCCACCAAACUUAUCAGGCUCAUCCAAUUCAACUUAUUAGUCUUCUGGGCUUAUUGUUACGGGACAGAAAGUUGGACCUAUUUACCUGCAUUGUUAAUGCAACAUAUGAGAAUCGAAUCUGCGCCAUUGGCUUUGAUACUAUUUGUGGAUCGUAAAUACUAACCAGCUAUCCCAAAAGUACGUGCUGAUAAGAAGAGCGUAUUCAUCGCACUUAAGGACUCAACCACAGCACUCACAGGUUUCAAUCUGAUUCAACCCAUCUGAAUGUUGAGUCUAUUAAUUGUUGGGUCUACUGCCGUUAGGUCUCUUGUGGACCACACCUCCACUCAACUUCUUAGCCUCACUCAACUCAACUUAGUAGUCUUCUAGAUUUAUUGUCACGGGACAAGAAGUUGGGCCUAUUUUAGCCCAAUAAUAAAUAGCCAACAACCUUCACCUUUUCCAUUUAUAUGUGGGAUUGUACUCUAUAUUUUAUUUUCAUAACUGUAAACUGCUU
rnacentral:lncRNA from 1 species